GACGUAGGGGGCCAGCGUUGUUCGGAAUUACUGGGUGUAAAGGGUUCUUAGGCGGUGCGGCAAGUUGGGAGUGAAAUCUCUGGGCUUAACCCAGAGGCUGCUUCCAAAACUGCUGUGCUUGAGUGUGGGAGAGGCGCGUGGAAUUGCAGGUGUAGCGGUGAAAUGCGUAGAUAUCUGCAGGAACACCCGUGGCGAAAGCGGCGCGCUGGACCACUACUGACGCUGAGGAACGAAAGCUAGGGGAGCAAACAGG
rnacentral:rRNA from 1 species